UUUACUAAAACAAUUUUUCUGUCUUCUUCUUUUUAUUAUAAGUAUUAUUCUAGGAGUGUUACAAUUUAUUAUUACAAUUAAAACGUGAUAUUUAUAAGAUAGUAAAGGUGUAGGUGUUGUUGUGGUGUCAACACUACCCAUAAUGCUCAGCUCCUCCUCUACAACCUCUGGUCGCAAUGGGUAAGGAUAUAUCCCAUAAACACGACCGAAAGGUCAUCAGGCGGAAGCCCAAGUCACAAGAUGUUUAUUUGAGGCUUCUGGUUAAGCAGUGACCUGAGGAUGCUAUCAACUAAGCCACAAGUGACCCAACAUGAUUUAGGUUUAUUUUAGGUAAGGUUACAUUAUAGGUUUAUACCUGCUGAUAAUUUUGCUAAAUUUUUAUAUAGUGCAUUUAAAUCUGUAGGAAAAUAUUUUAGACAUCUGACCAAUCACUGACUUGAUAAUGUCAGUGAGGUAGCUGGUAUUCAUUAGAAAUAUGCUAUGUAUAUGCUUCAGAACCAUUGUACAGAUGCAUUACUAUCUUCAAACUAAUUUCUAGAUUUCCUGGUCAGGCUUGUUUUAUCAACAGUAGACCUACUGGACCAUGCUUGGUAGGUCUUGCAUCCAUCCAUUCUUAUCCAUGCAUCUUCAACAUAUUUUUUAAGCUAAACAAAAAGUUCUGUACCAAAUGACAGCCCUUGAGGAUUUGUUCAUCAUCCAUAAUUAUAGCCAAAUCAGUGAUAUUCCAGUAUCCUUUCAAAAUCCAAAUGUAUCAAACUGUAAUCUGUUUCUGCAAAUAAUCAUAAUCACACUGUAUUCUGUGAAGUUGCCAAGUUUUCAAAUCUCUGACAUCAGGCAGCUUUCUGGUAAUUUGAUUUAGGUUUAUAUUUAGGGUAGUUUCUGUCCUUGCCAAUAAUUUGCUAAAUUUGUGUGGGAGACCUCUUCACUAGAAGGAAGGAAAGGAAAAUAUCAGACUACUAAGUGUAUGUCAUUGUUUUUAACCUAUUUUCUUUGGGAAAAAUUGCCGUAGAGGAUUAUGUUGUGUAUGUUAUAUGGAGAACAGUACAGUUCCAGUGUCAUACCUUCAUUUUGAGACUGAUUGCGGGUUCUAUCCCCGCCCGUGGUAUGGUUUGGUUGCAAUCGUGUCAUUACGAUUUUGUGAGUCAUACCUUCAUUGGUUGCAGCACAAUGAAUAUGGAUUUUAUUUUGUGUCUCUGACUUGCUGAUUGGUCAGACCUCUCCCAGAACUUAAGUACAGUGGACCCCCAAGUUUCGGCAGCAUCGACUUU